GGAAGUUUGAGGACUUUGAGUUGAUCGUUCCUGUGACAAGUGAGGAAAACAUUUAACAUAAUUGCUCAAGAUGUCUAUUCUGGCAAAGUUCUUCAUUUUUGUGUUGUUAAGUGGCAUGGUUUUGGGCGGAAAAAUCCAUGAAGACUCGCCUGAAGCAGUGACACACCAUCAGGAGAAGCGAGAGGAAUGCCCGUUCUCUUGUAUGCCAGGACCGUGUCCUUAUCAGUUGCCCCCGACUGGUGACUUCUGUUAUCAUCCGAUGGAAGUCUGUUGUCAG